GACGUAGGGCGCGAGCGUUGUCCGGAUUUAUUGGGCGUAAAGAGCUCGUAGGCGGCUUGUCGCGUCGACUGUGAAAACCCGUGGCUCAACCAUGUGGUCUGCAUUCGAUACGGGCAGGCUAGAGUUCGGUAGGGGAGUCUGGAAUUCCUGGUGUAGCGGUGAAAUGCGCAGAUAUCAGGAGGAACACCGGUGGCGAAGGCGGGACUCUGGGCCGAUACUGACGCUGAGGAGCGAAAGCGUGGGGAGCGAACAGG
rnacentral:rRNA from 1 species